AUUGAACGCUGGCGGUAUGCUUAACACAUGCAAGUCGAACGAGUGGCGGACGGGUGAGUAAUGCAUAGGAAUCUACCUUUUAGUCUAGGAUAACUACCCGAAAGGGUGGCUAAUACUGGAUGCUAAGAGAUGAGCCUAUGUGGGAUUAGCUAGUUGGUGGGGUAAUGGCUCACCAAGGCGACGAUCUCUAGCUGGUUUGAGAGGAUGAACAGGCCAACUGGGACUGGGAAACGGGCCAGACUCCUAAGGGGAGGAGCAAUGGGGGAUAUUUGGAAAAGGGCGAAAGCCUGAUCCAGCAAUACCGCGUGUGUGAAGAAGGCCCUAGGGUUGUAAAGCACUUUUGUUAGGGAGAUGUUACCUAAAGAAUAAGCACCGGCUAACUCCGUGCCAGCAGCCGCGGUAAUUC
rnacentral:rRNA from 1 species